rnacentral:rRNA from 1 species
UACGAAGGGGGCUAGCGUUGCUCGGAAUCACUGGGCGUAAAGGGUGCGUAGGCGGGUCUUUAAGUCAGGGGUGAAAUCCUGGAGCUCAACUCCAGAACUGCCCUUGAUACUGAGGGUCUUGAGUAUGGGAGAGGUGAGUGGAACUGCGAGUGUAGAGGUGAAAUUCGUAGAUAUUCGCAAGAACACCAGUGUCGAAGGCGGCUCACUGGCCCAUUACUGACGCUGAGGCACGAAAGCGUGGGGAGCAAACAGG